rnacentral:rRNA from 1 species
GGUCAAGCUAAUAAGGGCUGACGGUGGAUACCUACCCNACAAACAA